UAGAGGCCCUAUCGACCGUCCUUUUUUCUUUCUCCUUCCUUCUCCCCCAAAUGCAAUUUUUGGAAGGACAAUUUUGGUUGUCUUCAUCGCUGUGCACGCCAACCCUCGGUGUCGACGUCUCCGUUGGAUCAGCAAUCGUCCUCAUCAUCGUCGUCAGUUGAAAGUAAAAUAUGUAUGAGCAAUGGCGGAUGAAGACGAAAGCCAUGGAGAUAAUGAGGUACACGAGAUUAAUAAUCUAUCCAAGUCAAAUAACAAGUUUUCUCAAAAACCUCUCAAUAAUUGAAACAUGGAUGAGGAUGUGGAAUAGACCAACACAUAGUGCAACGUGACAACUGAUGCUCGAGUUGGUGUUGGCCAAAAGAAAUAGAGAUUUUUUGGACGUAUAUGUGAGACUUUCGUUGUUUUAAUGGAAGAAAACAUAGAAUAAGUAGACUUGAAAAUAAGAGAAUUCCUGGUGGAUGUGAGAGCUGGCGGAUGGAGAUCCGAUCGCAAUGUACCAAAUAGAUUGCUAUACGUGUCCAAGCACAACCAUAGUAUCGUAGAUGUUAGAAUCCAGCAGACUUCGUAAGUCAUUUUUCUAUUUCUAUUACAAUUUUUAGUUUUUUACUCCGAUUGAAUUCUUUAUAUUAAUAGUAACCGGAGAGUGAUAGUCAACAUGCAUAUCUUGAAAAACACAAGACGGUCUUCAAGUUCGAGUUAUAUUGGUAUAUCGUAAAAGAUCAGCCCAAAUGGUUGGAAUUUGUUGUUGGAAAUAAAGGCAAAACACCCGAUUGAUGUUCUGAGGUUAAAAAGAACAUCUUGAGAAAAGGUCUGCAAGUGAUAAUGUUGAUAAACUCUCCCCAAAGACCUAUGUUGAUUCAACUACUGGAGCAUUACAAAUGGUUAAGAUGCAAGGACAAGAUGUUCAUCUUUUGUCAGAUUUAGGCAGAUCUUCUACAAUUGAUUUAGAACGUCCAAUUGGUGUUAAAUAGGCCAAGACAAGUGAUAAACUAAACAAUCAGAAGAAGCGUAGAUUGAAAAGGCUUGAUGAGUCUCAAGCUUCGGUAACAAAAAUUAUCAUUGCUGGUUUAAUGACUAUGGACUCCGAGAGCUGUGAAAGGUGGUCAGCAUCGGAGGCUUUUGAAUGCAAAAAGAAACGAAAGAAUGAAGAACGCUUGUCUAUAAGAGCUGAGAAUGAGCGAUGCUUGAAACCUUGAUUGCAAGUCGAGUGGCGGAUUUGAAAGACACGGUGGAAGUUGGCCUAAGAGUCGGGCAAGGUGAAAGUAGAAAAUUCCUUCUCAAUGAAGACAACACUACUGAAGGCAUUUAAUAAUAGUACAGUUGGACCGUUGAAACUGAGACUGGGAAUUGUGUUGAUUCUUUGUUGUUUGUUUACAAUGUUGAAGGUUAGAUUCUCGUUUUUGGAAUGUGCAUAUCGGUUGUAGGUAUCCUUGUGUGGAGAAUUGCGUUGAAGUUUUAACAAUUUAGUGUAGAUUUGUUUAUUGCUGUUAAUGUUAAAGAUAAUUGUUGGACCAUUGAGCAGUCAACUAAAGAU